GGGUUAUCGCCGCUGGAGAAGGAAGGGGGAGGAAGCUCAGCGUAGGGGUCCUGGCUGCGGAGAGUUGAUGCCGCGGCGGUGCCGAGCCCUGGAGAGGAAGAGAAGCAGAAGGCACCAGUACUAAGUAUCUAUUCUGCUGCAGAACCUUCUAAAUUUUCCGAGAAACUUGCUAUUUCAACGUUGACCUUGUUAAGAGUGUCGGCCCCCGUGGAACAGGGACUUCAUGUUGAACAUGAGCCUUGUUAUGAUCAGUGAGAAUGUAAAGCUGGCCCGUGAAUAUGCCUUGCUGGGAAAUUAUGACUCUGCGAUGGUCUACUACCAGGGAGUCCUUGACCAAAUGAAUAAAUACCUCUACUCUGUCAGAGAUACCUAUCUGCAACAGAAGUGGCAACAGGUUUGGCAGGAGAUUAGUGUGGAAGCUAAGCAUGUGAAAGAUAUAAUGAAAACACUAGAGAGUUUUAAACUAGAUAGUACUCCACUGAAAGCUUCACAACAAGAAUUACCAGCUCAUGAUGCGGAAGUCUGGUCUUUGCCAGUACCUGCUGAACGUAGACCUUCGCCAGGACCCAGGAAACGUCAGUCUGCUCAGUGCAGUGAUUGUAGAAGCCACAAUAACCGCAUAAACCCAACUGUCAGAGGCCCUCACCGUCCAUCCUCUCGCAAUCCCAAUGACAAAGGAAAGGCGGUCCGCAGCCGGGAAAAAAAGGAUCAGCAAAAUAAAGGAAAAGAGGAAAAGAACAAAUCCACAUGUGAGAUUUCAGAGUCUGAGCCAAAGAAAUUUGAUGGUACUGGAUAUGAUAAAGAUUUAGUAGAAGCUUUGGAAAGAGAUAUAAUUUCUCAGAAUCCCAACAUUCGAUGGGAUGACAUUGCUGAUUUAGUAGAAGCCAAAAAGCUGCUUAAGGAAGCUGUAGUUUUACCAAUGUGGAUGCCGGAGUUUUUUAAGGGAAUUAGAAGACCAUGGAAGGGUGUGCUGAUGGUUGGUCCUCCUGGCACUGGAAAGACCCUCCUGGCAAAAGCUGUAGCCACUGAAUGCAAGACUACUUUUUUCAAUGUUUCUUCUUCCACACUUACCUCUAAGUACAGAGGAGAAUCUGAGAAACUUGUUCGUCUACUGUUUGAAAUGGCUCGAUUUUAUGCCCCGACAACUAUAUUUAUUGAUGAGAUUGACUCUAUCUGUAGUCGCAGGGGAACAUCGGAGGAGCACGAAGCCAGCCGGCGGGUGAAAGCAGAGCUGCUUGUCCAAAUGGAUGGUGUUGGAGGGGCUACUGAAAAUGAUGAUCCUUCCAAGAUGGUCAUGGUACUUGCUGCUACUAAUUUUCCUUGGGACAUUGACGAAGCCCUAAGACGGAGGCUAGAAAAGAGAAUUUACAUUCCGUUGCCAUCAGCAAAAGGUAGAGAGGAACUCCUAAGAAUAAAUCUACGAGAGCUGGAACUGGCUGAUGAUGUUGACCUUGCAAAUAUAGCUGAGAAAAUGGAGGGUUACUCAGGUGCAGACAUCACCAACGUAUGCAGGACUUGGAGGUAGCAGGGAAGUGUAGCAGUGCAAGGCUUUUGCUCCUAGGAGUUUGGAGGCUCCAUACUAUUUCCUGAGCAAACUCUACGCAGUGUCGGAAAAGGAUGGUAUGUUAGUUGUUCUGCAUCAGUGUUGUGCAGGUUUGUGUCAUUCAUAGGUCUGUGAGUUGAAUUUGUGGUGGUGUUUUCUCAGUCUUGGUGUUGGUUAUGCUUUGAAAGGAGUUUGUGCUAAGAAGUUCAUCUUCUAUGAACAGAGUUUACCUGGCCUGCUGCUUUGCUCAUUUUAGAGGCAGUUUGUCUCCUCCAGUCUGUUCAGUGUUCAUUAUUUGUAACUCAUUUCAUAUGGGAUCCCAAUACACCUGUUUUUUUAAAGACAGAAUACCUGUAACAUUUUUCAAUGAAUUUCAUAUCUAUAAAUGUACAUGCACACUGUUGCUUUGUAUUUUCAAUCAAAGUGCAUUUGUACAAAUACUAUUAAAGAAAAAAACCAAAAGCAAGCAAACAAACAAAAAAAAACCCACAAAGAAACCCGAGUGUUUCAUUUGUGGCAGUUUCCGUAGAGAUGACUGAGAUGAUAGCAACCAAAAAUCCAGAAAAACUGGGAUUUGGAUGUACAUUAUGUGAAAUUAUAAAAAGUACUCCUAUUAGCCUGUGUUUUUACACUUUAAUGCUGUCAGGAAAAACAGAUCAGACGUGAUUUUGGAGAGGAACAACCCCAUGCACCAGUACAGCCUGGGGACUGACCUGCUGGAGAGCAGCUCUGCAGAGAGAGACCUGGGAGUGCUGGCUGACAAUAAACUAACCAUGAGCCAGCAAUGUGCCCUCGUGGCCAAGAAGGCCAAUGGCAUCUUCGGAUGCAUCAAGAAGAAUGUGGCCAGUAGGUUGGAGGAGGUUCUCCUCCCUCUACUCUAUGCUGGUGAGGCCUCGUCUGGAGUCCUGUGUUCAGUUCUGGGCUCUCCACUUCAAGAGUGAUAAAGAACUCCUGGAGAGAGUCCAGUACAAGGCCACCAAGACGAUUAGGGGACUUGGAGCAUCUCUCAUGAGGAACAGCUGUGGAAUCUGAGGCCGUUUAGCCUGGAGAAAAGAUGACUGAGGGGAGGACCUCAUUAACCCUUACAAGUACUUAAAGGGUGGAUGUCAGAAGGAUGGGAGAUGCGUCGCUGAUGGCCAUGAGGAGGCGUAUUGAGGGCUUGACGCCAGAAGAAAUAAGAAAUCUUUCCCGAGAUGAGAUGCAC